rnacentral:rRNA from 1 species
GACGAACGCUGGCGGCGUGCUUAACACAUGCAAGUCGAACGGAAAGGCCCUGCUUUUGUGGGGUGCUCGAUUGGCGAACGGGUGAGUAACACGUGAGUAACCUGCCCUUGACUUUGGGAUAACUUCAGGAAACUGGGGCUAAUACCGGAUAGGAGCUCCUGCUGCAUGGUGGGGGUUGGAAAGUUUCGGCGGUUGGGGAUGGACUCGCGGCUUAUCAGCUUGUUGGUGGGGUAGUGGCUUACCAAGGCUUUGACGGGUAGCCGGCCUGAGAGGGUGACCGGCCACCUUGGGACUGAGAUACGGCCCAGACUCCUACGGGAGGCAGCAGUGGGGAAUAUUGCACAGUGGGCGGAAGCCUGAUGCAGCAGCGCCGCGUGCGGGAUGCCGGCCUUCGAGUUGUGAACCGAUUUCGCAUGUGACGAAGCGUGAGUGACGGUAAUGGGUAAAGAAGCACCGGCUAACUACGUG